rnacentral:rRNA from 1 species
UACGGAAGGCAGCAGUGGGGAAUAUUGCACAAUGGGUGAAAGCCUGAUGCAGCUAUGCCGCGUGUAUGAAGAAGGCCUUAGGGUUGUAAAGUACUUUCAUCGGGGAGGAAAAAACAAAACUAAUAAUUUUAUUUCUUGACGUUACCCGAAAAAGAAGCACCGGCUAACUCCGUGCCAGCAGCCGCGGUAAUACGGAGGGUGCUAGCGUUAAUCAGAAUUACUGGGCGUAAAGAGCACGUAGGUGGUUUUUUAAGUCAGAUGUGAAAUCCCUGGGCUUAACCUAGGAACUGCAUUUUGAAACUGAAAUACUAGAGUAUCGUAGAGGGAGGUAGAAUUCUAGGUGUAGCGGUGAAAUGCGUAGAUAUCUGGAGGAAUACCUGUGGCGAAAGCGGCCUCCUAAACGAAUACUGACACUGAGGUGCGAAAGCGUGGGGAGCAAACAGGGAUUAGAUACC